rnacentral:rRNA from 1 species
UACGGAGGGAGCUAGCGUUGUUCGGAAUUACUGGGCGUAAAGCGCGCGUAGGCGGCUUUGUAAGUUAGAGGUGAAAGCCCGGGGCUCAACCCCGGAAUUGCCUUUAAGACUGCAUCGCUUGAAUCCGGGAGAGGUGAGUGGAAUUCCGAGUGUAGAGGUGAAAUUCGUAGAUAUUCGGAAGAACACCAGUGGCGAAGGCGGCCAACUGGACCAUUUCUGACGCUGAGGCGCGAAAGCGUGGGGAGCAAACAGG